UGAGGAACAUGACCUUCGGCGGGGGGAUAGCCGGCCCAACGGCCGGGUAAUACCGCGUACGACCACAUGGGGACAUCCCUGAGUGGUGAAAGCAGCAAUGCGCCGAUGGAGUGCCUCGCGGCCUAUCAGCUAGUUGGUGGGGUAACGGCUCACCAAGGCAACGACGGGUAGCUGGUCUGAGAGGGUGACCGGCCACACGUGGGACUGAGACACGGCCCAGACUCCGUACGGGAGGCAGCG
rnacentral:rRNA from 1 species